AGAGUUUGAUCCUGGCUCAGGAUGAACGCUGGCGGCGUGCCUAACACAUGCAAGUCGAACGAAGAGGCCCCUUCGGGGGUACUUCAGUGGCGGACGGGUGAGUAACACGUAGGUGACCUACCCCGAAGUGGGGAAUAACAGUCCGAAAGGAUUGCUAAUACCCCAUGUGAUCGAUGAGGUUAGAGUCUUGUCGAUUAAAGCAGUAAUGUGCUUCGGGAGGGGCCUGCGCCCCAUCAGCUAGUUGGUAGGGUAACGGCCUACCAAGGCUACAACGGGUAGGGGGCCUGAGAGGGUGACCCCCCACAUUGGCACUGACACACGGGCCAAACUCCUACGGGAGGCAGCAGUGAGGAAUAUUGCUCAAUGGGCGAAAGCCUGAAGCAGCCAACGCCGCGUGCGCGAUGAAGGCCUUCGGGUCGUAAAGCGCUUUUGAGAGGGACGAGAUAGGACGGUACCUCUGGAAUAAGUCACGGCUAACUACGUGCCAGCAGCUGC
rnacentral:rRNA from 1 species